UUCGGGUUGUAAACGGCUUUUAUCGGGGAAGAAACGGACGGUACCCGAGGGAAUAAGCCCCGGCUAACUCCGUGCCAGCAGCCGGUAAUACGGAGGGGGCAAGCGUGGUCCGAACUUACUGGGCGUAAAGCGUGCGUAGGCGCCAGGGUGCGUCGGUGCUGAAAGCGCCCCGCUUAACGGGGCGAGGGGUACCGAUACGACCCCGCUCGAGGCAGUCAGAGGUUGGUAGAAUUCCGGGUGUAGUUGUGAAAUGCGUAGAUACCCGGAGGAAUGCCGGUGGCGAAAGCGACCAACUGGGGCUGGCCUGACGCUGAGGCACGAAAGCGUGGGGAGCGAACCGGAUUAGAUACCCGGGUAGUCCACGCCGUAAACGAUGUCGGCUUGGUGUUCGGCAGUAUGAAAGUGCUGCUGAGUGCCGAAGCUCACGCGCUAAGCCGACCGCCUGGGGACUACGAGCGCAAGCUUAAAACUCAAAGGAAUUGACGGGGGCCCGCACAAGCAGCGGAGCGUGUGGUUUAAUUCGACGCAACGCGAAGAACCUUACCCAGGUUUGACAUGUGGCUGCAAGCGCACAGAAAUGUGUGACCUUCGAGGGUGCCACACAGGUGCUGCAUGGCUGUCGUCAGCUCGUGUCGUGAGAUGUUGGGUUAAGUCCCGCAACGAGCGCAACCCCUGCUGCCAGUUACUUGUGUCUGGUGGGACUGCCUUCGCUAAUGGAGGAGGAAGGCGGGGAUGACGUCAAGUCCGCAUGGCCCUUACACCUGGGGCGACACACACGCUACAAUGGCCAGCACAAUGCGUCGCAAGCACGCAAGUGUUAGCUAAUCGCCGAAAGCUGGUCUCAGUACAGAUCGGGGGCUGCAACUCGCCCCCGUGAAGGUGGAGUUGCUAGUAACCGCGUAUCAGCCAUGGCGCGGUGAAUACGUGCCCGGGCCUUGUACACACCGCCCGUCACGUCAUGGGAGUCGGCAAUGCCUGAAGUCCGUGGGCUAACCCUUCGGGGAGGCAGCGGCCGAGGGCAGGGUUGGCGACUGGGACGAAGU
rnacentral:rRNA from 1 species